UCCCCCCGCCACGUCCUUGCGAAGCCCUUGUAGGGCCGUGAUGCAGAGCCCUGCAACGCCCCCCCCCCCCAAAAAAAAAAUCCACUCCCCACUAUUGCAGAGGUGUGGGGGCUUCCCUGGGGGAGGGGGGCGUGGGGGCGGCUGUGGGAGGCUCCGCUCGGGGAAAGGAUGUGGGGGUGGCCGCGGGGGUGCAAGGAGGUGUCCUCCCCCACCCUGCGUGGCUGGGGGUGCUUGGCCCUCCCUGCUCCGGGGCUGGGGCGCUCCGUCUGGCUUUCCCACGCGGGAAUAAUUAGCCCUGAAUAAUUAAUUCAUCGCCGGGAGAGCCGGGAAGGGCUGGCCCGGCGCGGGGUUGCGGGAAGGGCGGCUGGCAGGGAGGAGGAGGAGGAGGAAGAUGAGGAAGAGGAGGAGGAGAUGCACCCCCGGGACCCUUCCAGGACACCCCAUGAGUGGGGUUGCCCCCACGGGGGGGCUCGGGCGAGACCUUACAGGGGCACGGGGCGGGGGGGGGGGGGGGCGCAGGGCACCGGGAUCGGCUGCAAGCAUCCCAUAGGAGCGCAGCGCCCCGGGGGGGGUGUGUGGGGGGGGAGACCCCGACGGUCAGGGGGAGAUGGGGGGGCUCGGCCCUGCGGGUGCUGAACCCCGGGGGGGGGAUGUUGGGCUCCCCCCGGUGCCGCGACCCCAGAGGGAUCCCACCACCACCACAUCUGGCGUGUGCAGUGUACAUAGGGCAUAUGCAGUGUGCAGUGGUGUGGGGUGUGCAGCGUGUGUGCAGUGUGUGUGUGCAGUGCUUGCAGUGCGUGUGAGCAGUGUGCAGUGUGUGUGUGUGAAGCGUGUAUGUGCAGUGCAUGCAGUGCACGUGUGGUGUGCAGUGUGUGUGCAGUGUGUGUGCAGUGUGUGUGUGUGCAGUGUGUGUAUGCAGUGCAUGCAGUGUGCGUGCAGUGUGUGUGCAGUGUGUGUGUGCAGUGUGUACACAGCAUGUGCAGUGUGUACGCAGCGUAUGCAGGGUGUGCAGCAUGUAGGGGGUGUGUGCUGUGCACGGGGUGUGCAGCGUGCAGUGUGCACACAGCAUGCAGUGAGUGCAGCGUCUGGGGUGUGCAGUGUUUGCUCACCAUGCAGUGUGCACACAGACAGCUGUGCAAGCAGGGUGCGCAGGGUGCAGCGUGUGAGCAGUGUGCGGGCAGUGUCUGCAGUGUGUGCAGUGCGUGUGCAGUGCAUGGUGUGUGUGUGUGUGUGCACAGUGUACGUGCAACGUGUGCGUUGUGUGUGCAGUGCGAGCAGUGGGAGCAGCAGGAGCAGCACAACCUGCAGCCCUGCGGGGGGGGGGGGGGGGCACCGCCGUGGCUUUCCCGCGGGCGGGGGGGGGCAGCGGGGGGGCGGGCCCCCCCCCUGCAAGGGCCGGGCCCCCCGGGGCGGGGCGGGGCGAGGCGAGGCCGCCCCCUGCCCGCCCCCGCCGCCGGGGCCACCGCCUCCCGCGGGCGCGCAUGUGCCCGUGGCACGGCUCCGCACCGCUCUCCCGGGAGCUCCGCAGCUGGCACCUCCUGCCGUGCCGAGCCGUGCCGAGCCGGGCUGAGUCGUGCCUGGCCGUGCCGAGCCGUGCCGAGCCGUGCCGGGCCGUGCCAUGGCCCCGCCGUGCGCCGGGGCGCUGCGCUGCGCGCUCCUUUGCGCGUUCCUUUGCGCGCUGCUGUGCGCGCAGGGCCCCGCUGCCACCCGCGCAGGGGAGUGCGGCGAGCUGCGAUCCUGCCAGACAUGCACCGCCGGCACCGCCUCGCCCAACGGCUCCGCCUGCGUCUGGGUGGGCUGCGGGGCACCCCAAGAGCCAGAGACCUGGAGCUGCGUGCAGAGAGGGGCGGCAACACGGGGGACGUGCGUGCUCUACAACACCACCGCCCUGUGCCCAGCAGCGCUGAAAUCCCCCACCAAAGAGCCCCCACAGCCCCCUAGCAAGGAGCCGGUGACGCAUUCGCCACGUGAGUGGGGUUGGGGGGCCUGGGGGGGGGGGCAAUUAUGGGAUGGGACCGGCCUCUUCCCUCUGCGUCCCCUGGGGAGGGGUGAGCGCUGCCCCCCUUUUGGGGUUGCACUGAUGGAGGUUACACCGUGGCUGUGCCCACGGGGUGCCAGCCCUGUCCCCAUGGUCACAGCUCGGUCCCCGGCCCCCCUUUUUUUUCCCCUUUUUGCCUUGCCGGGGGGGGGCACGGGGAGGACAGCAGCAGGUGAAGGGGCUGGGAGCGGAGGAGCCUCUUCCAGGAAACGGGAUCUGGAGGGCACGGGGCUCGCUGCGGCCGUAACCGGAGCCGCUGCCCUCUGAAUUAUUGAUGCCAGCGGGCUGCUGCGGCACG
rnacentral:lncRNA from 1 species